CCCCUACUUCGCUUCCAUCUCCACAUCCCUCCUCCUCCCUUAAUUUUUAAAAGAUAAAAAGAAAAAAUCCCCCCCACCCCCACCAACACCACACACACACAUCCACCCGUCCCCACCCAAUCCCACACAUCUAAUCAAAUCUAUAACAAAAAUAAUUAUUAUGUAAUUGUAAAAAUAAUUUUAUGUUCCAUCUCCCUUCUUUCACCUUCCACCCUACCCCCACUCCACCUCCACAUACACAUGCACAUAUACACAUACACAUACACUCCAGUCAGUCCACCCACACAAUCUUUCACCUCUAAUCAAAUCUAUACGAAAAAAUAAUUGUGCAUUGUAAUAAAUAUGUUUUAUAUUUUUUUAUUAUAUUAUUCACAAUAUAAAGAUAUUAGAUUGUUAAUAUUUCCUCCCCCUCCCUAAUUACAUCAUUUUUUAAAAAUAAACCUCCUCCACCUCACCCACCCAUCCUCAUAUAAUCCCCCAUCUCUAACCGAAUCUAUAUGAAAAAAUAACUAUGUAAUUAGGCACCCAUGAUAAAUAAAUUAGUUGGUAAUCCAACAGACUCCGACGCCGGCGACGUCGUAGAUGCGCCGGCACAGGUAAGGGCCCACUCUCACUCCCCCGUUCUCUCUCUCCAGUCCUCUCUCUCCCCAGUUCUCUCUCUUCUCUGCUCUUUUUUUCUCUCGUCAUUGCUAUGGUCGGUGGAAUUAGGAUUUUCGCUGGCUCGACUCCGGCGAUAGCAUAGUGUGCAACAUCGGUCAAACUCGGUUAAAACAGUUGGUGUGACGUCAAACGGCAACCAGUUGCUGGCAGAACUAAGAAGAUGCUCUGGCGAUGUACCAGCAGCUUCUUUUAAACGACUCUAUUUCGGUAACCAAUUUCGACAUCAAAAUUGCCGUAAUCAGCACACGCAAGAGUCAAGGAUAAUAUUAAAAAAUAAUUCUAAUCAUUUUAUAUUGAAAUAUCUCAUUUGAGUAUGUUAAAUCAUAUUAUCCUUAAAAAAACUUAUUAACUAUCAUACUAUUUCUUAAUGAAAUGCAAAAAAGAAAAAAGAAAAAAAGAAAAAUCUACCCCUACUUCGCUUCCAUCUCCACAUCCCUCCUCCUCCCUUAAUUUUUAAAAGAUAAAAAGAAAAAAUCCCCCCCACCCCCACCAACACCACACACACACAUCCACCCGUCCCCACCCAAUCCCACACAUCUAAUCAAAUCUAUAACAAAAAUAAUUAUUAUGUAAUUGUAAAAAUAAUUUUAUGUUCCAUCUCCCUUCUUUCACCUUCCACCCUACCCCCACUCCACCUCCACAUACACAUGCACAUAUACACAUACACAUACACUCCAGUCAGUCCACCCACACAAUCUUUCACCUCUAAUCAAAUCUAUACGAAAAAAUAAUUGUGCAUUGUAAUAAAUAUGUUUUAUAUUUUUUUAUUAUAUUAUUCACAAUAUAAAGAUAUUAGAUUGUUAAUAUUUCCUCCCCCUCCCUAAUUACAUCAUUUUUUAAAAAUAAACCUCCUCCACCUCACCCACCCAUCCUCAUAUAAUCCCCCAUCUCUAACCGAAUCUAUAUGAAAAAAUAACUAUGUAAUUAGGCACCCAUGAUAAAUAAAUUAGUUGGUAAUCCAACAGACUCCGACGCCGGCGACGUCGUAGAUGCGCCGGCACAG
rnacentral:lncRNA from 1 species